rnacentral:lncRNA from 1 species
CUGUUAGAGAGAUGAGUAAAAAAAGGGACAAGAACAGAAAACAGAUCAAGCAUGCAUAAUCUAUGGAAGAGGACAUCCAUCUUAUUCAAGGGAUGCUCAGAAUAGCUCUCAGCAGAACUGGAGGCUGAAGAACAAUACACCUUGAAUCAUGAGAUUUUGGAUUCUCUGAGUCAGCCCUAGAGUGCCAGGUUCAGUGAUGACCCAGAUUCAAAUCUCACCUAUACUGCUGAUUAUCUGUGUGGUAUCAGGGAAGAAGAUGGACAUUUAAUGAAACAAAUGAAUUCCAUUUGUUUCUGAAGAAAAAACCAGAACUAAACAAAAAAUUUGAUCUCCAAGAAUAGAACUCAAGAGAUGCAGAAAAGGAUAAGUGCCCAAAUGAAGUGGGAAUGAGGAAGAUCUUUCAUAUUGAAGGAGCUUCAGUUUCUCAACUGUUUUGAAAAUCGGUGAUGUUCUCAUUUGUGGUUCUAACCCGGAAAAGUGGUCCAAUGAGGAACAGAGAGAGUUCACUAAAAGGAUGAUUUCAGAAAGGCCUGGAGAGACUUACAUGAACUGAUGCUGAAUGAAAUGAGCAGAACCAGGAGAUCAUUAUAUGCUUCAAUAACAAUACUAUAUAAUGACCAGUUCUGAUGGACCUGGCCAUCCUCAGCAAUGAGAUCAACCAAAUCAUUUCCAAUGGAGCAGUAAUGAACUGAACCAGCUACGCCCAGAGAAAGAACUCUGGGAGAUGACUAAAAACCAUUACAUUGAAUUCCCAAUCCCUAUAUUUAUGCCCACCUGCAUUUUUGAUUUCCUUCACAAGCUAAUUGUACAAUAUUUCAGAGUCUGAUUCUUUUUGUACAGCAAAAUAACGGUUUGGUCAUGUAUACUUAUUGUGUAUCUAAUUUAUAUUUUAAUAUAUUUAAUAUCUACUGGUCAUCCUGCUAUCUGGGGGAGGGGGUGGGGGGUAAGAGGUGAAAAAUUGGAACAAGAGGUUUGGCAAUUGUUAAUGCUGUAAAGUUACCC